rnacentral:misc_RNA from 1 species
CGCACAUUGCGCCCAUUGGUAUUCCGAUGGGCACGUCUGUUUGAGCGUCAUUGCAACCCUUCGGCCCCGCCUUUUGGCUGCCGGUGCUGAGCUCCGUCCCCUCCGACCCAGGUUGGGGGGACCGGCUUCAAAGUUGCGCGCUCUGCGGGCCCGUUGACCCAGCAAAACAUAGUAGAAUCUUCCGAAUUGUUGAACUGUGGCAGACGUGGUUUCCGCCUGAAAAAACUCACCUUGAAGUUUGACCUCAGAUCAGACGAGGAUACCCGCUGAACUUAA